GGGGAAUAUUGCGCAAUGGGGGAAACCCUGACGCAGCAACGCCGCGUGAGUGAUGAAGGUCUUCGGAUUGUAAAACUCUGUCUUUGGGGACGAUAAUGACGGUACCCAAGGAGGAAGCCACGGCUAACUACGUGCCAGCAGCCGCGGUAAUACGUAGGUGGCAAGCGUUGUCCGGAUUUACUGGGCGUAAAGAGUAUGUAGGCGGACAUUUAAGUCAGAUGUGAAAUCCCCGGGCUUAACCUGGGAGCUGCAUUUGAUACUGGGUGUCUAGAGUGUAGGAGAGGAAAGUGGAAUUCCUAGUGUAGCGGUGAAAUGCGUAGAGAUUAGGAAGAACACCAGUGGCGAAGGCGACUUUCUGGACUAUAACUGACGCUGAGAUACGAAAGCGUGGGGAGCAAAC
rnacentral:rRNA from 1 species